UUCACUUUUCAUUUGAAGCGCAACAGCAGAGUACUUUCCGGAGCUGCGGAACAAUAUUUCGGACUAACUUUGAAGGAAACCCACAAAAGAACAUAGCGCAUGCGCAUGGGAGAUCACUCGAGUGGAGGUUCUCGACAACCUGGUGCAGUUCAAGAAAUUCCUCGACAGCAGAGUCAAGCCAUGAGGAAGAAGAGGGCGAGGACGUCUCUGUGGUUGCAUUAGAGGCUUUGGAGUAUAUGGCCCAAUUAUUUAACAGCCUGACUCUUGUCACAUGGAAUAAAGAAACACGGAUCCUGUUCAAAAACAGAUGACCUAGUUAAGUUAAAAGAAAUUGGAGGGAUGCGUCGGGUGUGGUGUUGGGGCAUCCUCUGGAGAUGGAGGUUCAGUGACUUCAGGCAAAGGGUCUCUGAAAACGUAUUUCAACAAGCUGAACACUACCUUGAAACAGAAGGUUUCCAAUAUCAAAUGCACUCGAAAAUAGGCUAAAUUAAUCAGAGGAAAAGUUCUAGAUCACCACAAAUCGGAGGAAUUUCGCUGAAACUUGGAACUUCCAAGCGCCGUGUCGUCGGAUGCGUUGGCAUGUGAGCAUGUGAGAUCGUGGGAGAGGAGCUUAGCUACAAACUGGUGCAGUUUAAAAAAAUCAUUGACAGUCAUGGUCAAGUUAUGACGAAGUCGACUGCAGAGUCAAGCGGUGAGGAAGAAGCGGUCUGUUGGACAACCUCAUAAUCAUCAUUGGAGACAUGUGACAUAACCUUGAGGCUGGCUAAUAGAUAGAUGGAUGAUAUUUUUACUGACUGACUGAUUUGUUUAUAUGUGAAGGCUUUGUAUUUAUUUAUUAUAACACUAUUAAAUGACAUAAUACAUGCA
rnacentral:lncRNA from 13 species